UAUACCGUGAAACUGCGAAUGGCUCAUUAAAUCAGUUAUCGUUUAUUUGAUAGUACCUUACUACUUGGAUAACCGUGGUAAUUCUAGAGCUAAUACAUGCUAAAAACCCCAACUUCGGGAGGGGUGUAUUUAUUAGAUAAAAAACCAAUGCCCUUCGGGGCUCUUUGGUGAUUCAUGAUAACUUAACGGAUCGCAUGGCCUUGCGCCGGCGACGGUUCAUUCAAAUUUCUGCCCUAUCAACUUUCGAUGGUAAGGUAUUGGCUUACCAUGGUUUCAACGGGUAACGGGGAAUUAGGGUUCGAUUCCGGAGAGGGAGCCUGAGAAACGGCUACCACAUCCAAGGAAGGCAGCAGGCGCGCAAAUUACCCAAUCCCGACUCGGGGAGGUAGUGACAAUAAAUACUGAUACAGGGCUCUUUUGGGUCUUGUAAUCGGAAUGAGUACAAUUUAAACCCCUUAACGAGGAACAAUUGGAGGGCAAGUCUGGUGCCAGCAGCCGCGGUAAUUCCAGCUCCAAUAGCGUAUAUUAAAGUUGUUGCAGUUAAAAAGCUCGUAGUUGAACCUUGGGCCUGGCUGGCCGGUCCGCCUCACCGCGUGUACUGGUCCGGCCGGGCCUUUCCUUCUGGAGAUCCGCAUGCCCUUCACUGGGUGUGUCUGGGGAACCAGGACUUUUACUUUGAAAAAAUUAGAGUGUUCAAAGCAGGCCUUUGCUCGAAUACGUUAGCAUGGAAUAAUAGAAUAGGACGUGCGGUCCUAUUUUGUUGGUUUCUAGGACCGCCGUAAUGAUUAAUAGGGAUAGUCGGGGGCAUCAGUAUUCAAUUGUCAGAGGUGAAAUUCUUGGAUUUAUUGAAGACUAACUACUGCGAAAGCAUUUGCCAAGGAUGUUUUCAUUAAUCAGUGAACGAAAGUUAGGGGAUCGAAGACGAUCAGAUACCGUCGUAGUCUUAACCGUAAACUAUGCCGACUAGGGAUCGGGCGAUGUUUCUAUCUUGACUCGCUCGGCACCUUACGAGAAAUCAUAAG
rnacentral:rRNA from 1 species